GUGCAGCAGUCGAGAAACCUCCGCAAUACACGAAAGUGUGACGGGGCCAUCCCGAGUGCCGUCCGCUGAGGACGGCUUUUCCCCAGUGUACACAGCUGGGGGAAUAAGGAGAGGGCAAGCCUGGUGUCAGCCGCCGCGGUAAUACCAGCUCUCCGAGUGGUGGGGACGCUUAUUGGGCCUAAAGCAUCCGUAGCCGGCUGGGCAAGUCCUCCGUUAAAUCCAACGAUUCAAUCGUUGGGCUGCGGGGGAUACUGUCCAGCUUGGGGGCGGGAGAGGCCGACGGUAUUCCCGGGGUAGGGGUGAAAUCCUAUAACCCCGGGAGGACCACCAGGGGCGAAGGCUGUCGGCUAGAACGCGCCCGACGGUGAGGGAUGAAAGCUGGGGGAGCGAACCGGAUUAGAUAU
rnacentral:rRNA from 1 species